rnacentral:rRNA from 1 species
GUGGGGAAUCUUGCGCAAUGGGCGAAAGCCUGACGCAGCCAUGCCGCGUGAAUGAUGAAGGUCUUAGGAUUGUAAAAUUCUUUCACCGGGGACGAUAAUGACGGUACCCGGAGAAGAAGCUCCGGCUAACUUCGUGCCAGCAGCCGCGGUAAUACGAAGGGGGCUAGCGUUGCUCGGAAUUCCUGGGCGUAAAGGGCGCGUAGGCGGACAGCUUAGUCAGAGGUGAAAGCCCAGGGCUCAACCUUGGAAUUGCCUUUGAUACUGGCUGUCUUGAGUUUGGGAGAGGUGAGUGGAACUCCGAGUGUAGAGGUGAAAUUCGUAGAUAUUCGGAAGAACACCAGUGGCGAAGGCGACUCACUGGCCCAAUACUGACGCUGAGGCGCGAAAGCGUGGGGAGCAAACAGGAUUAGAUACCCGAGUAGUCC